rnacentral:rRNA from 1 species
UGAAGUAGUUGAUGCCAAGCUUCCAGGAAAAGCCUCUAAGCAUCAGGUAACAUUAAAUCGUACCCCAAACCGACACAGGUGGUCAGGUAGAGAAUACUCAGGCGCUUGAGAGAACUCGGGUGAAGGAACUAGGCAAAAUGGUGCCGUAACUUCGGGAGAAGGCACGCUGGCAUUAGGUAAAGGGACUUGCUCCCGGCGCCGAAGCCAGUCGCAGAUACCAGCUGGCUGCAACUGUUUAAUAAAAACACAGCACUGUGCAAACACGAAAGUGGACGUAUACGGUGUGACGCCUGCCCGGUGCUGGAAGGUUAAUUGAUGGGGUCAGCCGCAAGGCGAAGCUCUUGAUCGAAGCCCCAGUAAACGGCGGCCGUAACUAUAACGGUCCUAAGGUAGCGAAAUUCCUUGUCGGGUAAGUUCCGACCUGCACGAAUGGCGUAAUGAUGGCCAGGCUGUCUCCACCCGAGACUCAGUGAAAUUGAACUCGCUGUGAAGAUGCAGUGUACCCGCGGCAAGACGGAAAGACCCCGUGAACCUUUACUAUAGCUUGACACUGAACAUUGAGCCUUGAUGUGUAGGAUAGGUGGGAGGCAUUGAAGUGUGGACGCCAGUCUGCAUGGAGCCAACCUUGAAAUACCACCCUUUAAUGUUUGAUGUUCUAACUCGGCCCCAUAAUCUGGGGUGAGGACAGUGUCUGGUGGGUAGUUUGACUGGGGCGGUCUCCUCCCAAAGAGUAACGGAGGAGCACGAAGGUUAGCUAAUCACGGUCGGACAUCGUGAGGUUAGUGCAAAGGCAUAAGCUAGCUUGACUGCGAGAGUGACGGCUCGAGCAGGUACGAAAGUAGGUCUUAGUGAUCCGGUGGUUCUGAAUGGAAGGGCCAUCGCUCAACGGAUAAAAGGUACUCCGGGGAUAACAGGCUGAUACCGCCCAAGAGUUCAUAUCGACGGCGGUGUUUGGCACCUCGAUGUCGGCUCAUCACAUCCUGGGGCUGAAGUAGGUCCCAAGGGUAUGGCUGUUCGCCAUUUAAAGUGGUACGCGAGCUGGGUUUAGAACGUCGUGAGACAGUUCGGUCCCUAUCUGCCGUGGGCGUUGGAAGAUUGAGAGGGGCUGCUCCUAGUACGAGAGGACCGGAGUGGACGAAUCACUGGUGUUCGGGUUGUCAUGCCAAUGGCAUUGCCCGGUAGCUAAAUUCGGAAGAGAUAACCGCUGAAAGCAUCUAAGCGGGAAACUUGCCUCGAGAUGAGUCUUCCCUGGGGCUUUAAGCCCCCUGAAGGAACGUUAAAGACUAUGACGUUGAUAGGCUGGGUGUGUAAGUGCAGCGAUGCAUUGAGCUAACCAGUACUAAUGAUCCGUGAGGCUUAACC